rnacentral:ncRNA from 1 species
GGCCGUGGACGACCGCGGCUGCAAAUUCCCACGGCGGGACGGCCCGC